rnacentral:rRNA from 1 species
AUGGCGGAAUUAGUCGUGGCUGCCAACCUGGCUGGCAGUGUGGCCAGCAGGAAUGCCCCUAAGCUCUGGGAUUACUUGGUACAAAAUCGCAAGCUGCGGGCAGAGCUGAAGCAUGACAUCAGUUACAUCAGAAGCGAGUCCUUGAUGAUUUCUGCUGCCAUUCAACAAGAUGGUGAUCGUCCACCGUGGAGCAGCAACCCCGUGCAUAAGGUCUGGAUCACUAUGGUGCGUGACUUGGCGUAUGAUAUCGAAGACUGCAUCGACCGCUUCACGCACCGCGUGACACUCAAGCCUGAUGUGUCAUGGAUCGUUAAGAAAUUUCACCGGAUGAAGACGAGGAGUGCCCGUAACAAGUUUGCUGCAGCAAUCCGUCGUCUCAGGAAGAAAUCCGAGGACGCAUCCAAGCUGAGAACAAGCUACAGCACCAGUGAGUAUGGCGGCGGAUCCAGCACCCUGGAGUCAGAGACACCAUCUGAUGACACGGACACCUCGGUGGCCGCCGUGGGUAUGGAUGUGCCCCACGACGAGCUCAUGGAGCUGAUAAGGGAAACGCCGCAAGGCCAACAACCCAUGGAGCUCAAGGUGAUCUCCCUUGUUGGGUUCGGUGGCAUAGGGAAGACUCUCCUCACCAAGCAUGUGUACAACACAACUGAGAGCGAAUACAAAGCACGGGCUUGGGUUUGUGCUGCAGAGAAAGGCUCAAGAGAUGUUCUCAAGGAGAUACUCUGGCAACUUGGAAUGCAUUCCACCAUUAGUAGUAGUAGUGGAAGUGCAGGCAACCCCUGCCGUCUCAGCAAUAACAUGCUCUGUGCAAGCCUAAGAGAGUGCCUUGGGACCAAGAGGUUUUUAAUUGUAAUUGAUGACAUGCGGAGAGACUUUUGGGUUGAUAUAAAAGAUGCUUUCCCUGUGGUUCCCGGGGUCAACAGUAGAGUUAUUGUCACAACAGCCACUCAGACCAUAGCAAUCAAAAGCAGCUGUCGUGAUGGUCAUGUGUACAUAAUGAGAACUCUUGCUGAGCAACACUCGAAACAAUUGUUCUUUGAGAAAGCUUCCUUGGUGUAUCCACCAACAGUCCGUGAUACGGAGCUAAGUUCAGAAGUAAUAAGGAAAUGUGAUGGUCUGCCCCUUGCUCUUAUUACCACAGCACGGUUGUUGCACGGUGAUCACAGACGGCGACAAUGGGCAGAUCUGGGAAAUAACCUUGGCAGCCAUCUGGAGACACAUCAUAUGUUAGCAAAUAUGAAGCGUGUGCUCGUCCGUAGCUACACCAACCUAAGCAAGCAAGAUAUCAAGAUCUGCUUGCUUUAUCUUGGUAUUUACCCAAGUGGUCGCCCAAUCAGGAGAGGAAGCCUGAUAAGGCGAUGGUCAGCCGAAGGUUUCAUCACAGCAGAGCCUAAACGCAGUGCCCUUGAGGUUGCUGUUGCCAGUUUCAAUGAGCUGGUCGACAAGAGCAUCAUCCAGCCUAUUGAUGCCAGCGGCAACGGCAGUGCAGAGGUGAAGACAUGCAAACCUCACAGUAUAAUGCUUGAGUUCAUUCUGCACAGAUCCAUGUCCGAGAACUUUGUUACCUUGUUAUAUGAUAAGGAUCCCCCACCUGGGAGUAAAAUUCGUUGGAUUUCUCUGCAGCAUAAAACUGAUGCAAGAUCCAAAAUGGAUCCAAAGGAUCUAAGUCUUGUCCGUUCUCUGACAAUCUUUGGUGAAGCGCACAAUUCAAUGUUGGACUUUUCCAAGUACAAACUGAUUAGAGUUUUGGAUUUAGAAGAGUGCGAUGAACACUUGGGAGACAAGCAUCUCAAGGAGAUAUGCAGCAACAUGUCGCUGCUCAGGUACCUAAGCCUCAGAGGUGCUACUAGAGUUACAGUUAUUCCAAAACAGAUCAAGAAGCUUCAACUUUUGGAAACACUGGAUUUAAGAGGAACCAGUAUAGAGAUUCUGACCAUAGAAGUCAUGGAAUUGCCAUAUUUAAUUCAUCUGUUUGGAAAGUUCAAGCUCCAACAAGAUGUAGGAAGCCGGAGAAUGAGUAAGCUACAGACUUGGCUGUCAGAGAGAAGUAAAUUGGAAACUUUAGCCGGAUUUGUUGUGGACAACAAUAGCCAAGGAUUCACACAGAUCAUGGAGCAUAUGAAGCACUUGACCAAGGUGAAAAUAUGGUGCGAGUUCACCGCACAUGACAGCAGCAACUCAAGACACCUCUCAAAGUCAAUCAAGGGGUUCAUCCAGAGCGGCACCGAUCUGAACAAAGCUCAUUCACUCUCACUGAACACCAAUGAUGAAUGGUGUCCAGACUUGUUGGAUUUCUCCUUGGAGAAGGAUUACUCCUACUACCUUAGCUCACUCAAGCUACAAGGGAACACCAUAUGUAGUCAGCUGCCUCUGUUUGUUACCAUGCUGGGUGGUCUCACUAAGCUGUGCCUGUCAUUCCUUGGUGAUCAUAAGCUGAGUGGUAACAUUCUUGAUGCCCUGAGCAGAGUGCGCGGCCUGGAGUACCUGAAGCUGAUUGCAACUCAACUGGACAAGCUCGGCAUCAGGCAAGGCCAUGCACUCAGAAGCCUGCGACACCUAUGUGUCGUGGCAGAAGUCGCAACCGAGCUGGAAAUACAAGAGGGAGCUCUGCCUCGCCUCGAGUUCCUCCGGCUGCUAUGUAAGGAUAUAAAUGGCUUUAGCCGCACAAUCCAGUCCCUGCCACGUCUUAAAGAGGUCGCCCUACCUGAUGCAGUGAGUGAUGAAACAAAACAGGAGUGGAAAGGAGCAAAAAAGAACCACCCCAGACGUCCCAAGCUCUUGUUUGUUGAGACUAAGCCGAUGGGAAGUGAGUCUGCUGCGGAAAUUAUCCCUGCAGAAACAACUACUGAUACAACAGUCGAAGAGGUUGAUGUGGAGAGGGAACCUGCAGCAGCAGCUACUGAUACGACGUUAUCAGUGACAACGCUGCCCAAUGUGACCACUAAAGAGACUGAAGCUAGCCCUGCAGCAAUAGCUACUGAUACGACGGCCGACGAGGUUGAUGUCAAAAGUGCACCUGCGGAGAAUUUUGAGAGCCCUGUGCCAUCACCUACUGAUGCCAUUUCUACUGUACAAGUUGAUGGUGGUCAACAUGAUGAUGAACAAGGAAAAUAUUUUGCUAACACCAAGGAUGUAAAAUAUUUUGCUAAGAAACAUGGUCUGAGCGUUCAGGUGACAGAUCGGAUGAACAAGGGAAGUUCUAAAGAGGAGAUGGAAGGAAUGGCGGGUUUAGAGGGUCAGCAGAUGGAAGACGCCACCAAGAACCAAGGCCUACGAAACAAACAGCGUCUGCGGACGAGGUUGUCAUCGCUGGUGGCAAUUGGUGUCUUUCGCCAAAGAAGUCGACAGGGGAUGUUGGUGCCUUGA